AACGAACGCUGGCGGCGUGCCUAACACAUGCAAGUCGAGCGCGAAAGUCCCUUCGGGGGCGAGUAGAGCGGCGGACGGGUGAGUAAUACAUAGGUAAUCUACCUUCGAGCUUGGGAUAACCCCGCGAAAGUGGGGCUAAUACCGGAUAAGACCACGCAACCAUGUUGCGGGGUAAAAGGUGGCUUAUUUUUAAAUGAGCUGUCACUUGAGGAUGAGCCUAUGGCCUAUCAGCUUGUUGGCGGGGUAAGAGCCCACCAAGGCUAUGACGGGUAGCUGGUCUGAGAGGACGACCAGCCACACUGGGACUGAGACACGGCCCAGACUCCUACGGGAGGCAGCAGUGGGGAAUAUUGGGCAAUGGGCGCAAGCCUGACCCAGCGACGCCGCGUGGGCGAUGAAGGCCUUCGGGUUGUAAAGCCCUGUCAUGCGGAAAGAACGACCCUGUGACGCAUACUCACAGGGAGUGACGGUACCGCAGGAGGAAGCACCGGCUAACUCCGUG
rnacentral:rRNA from 1 species